AAAUACGUGAGGGAUAGCAGUGAAAAUCCUUUGCUGACCCGUUGCAAAAAAGGGACAGGAAAGAUUGUAACGUAUAGCCCGACCGGAG
rnacentral:sRNA from 1 species